AUGUAAAUACAUUGGACAUGACCAUAAAGAAAAAUUCCCAUUAGGUUUUCCAUAUGCUACUUGAGUAGCACUUAACCUGUUGGGAACAUUU
ensembl:snoRNA